rnacentral:tRNA from 1 species
GGCUCGUUGGUCUAGGGGUAUGAUUCUCGCUUUGGGUGCGAGAGGUCCAGGGUUCAAAUCCUGUUGAGCCC